CGUGUUGCACUGAUGCAUUGCUGAAGAAUUCCUGCCUUUCUUCACCUGGAUGCGCUGUUUAACUCCUAUUUUUUAGCGUGUAACACAUGCCAGGAUUUUGUAACCUUAUUCUCAACUGUGCCUGCUAACAUCUUAAGAUCUGCGACUGUUUACUUUGAUUCUUGUUGUUGGUAAUUCUAAUUUCUAAUGAGUAUUGUGUUUGGGCAGGGCUAGUAUUGAUGUUCACACUUAUGCUAUGAAUAUGAGUAUCAAUAGCUUAUUGCACACUCACGUCUGCAAUAUGAGUAUCAAUAGCUUAUUGCACACUCACGUCUGCUGAAGUCGAUCAAUAGCUUACUCCAGUUUUUAUCAUAGUGAAAAAUUUUGGUAUAUUUUGUAGCAUCAUGUAUCUUUUUAUUUGAAAGAAGACAAGACCGAAAAACCGAAAUUGUUAAACCGAAAUAAAACCGAAUCAAAAUAUAUAUAAACCGAACCGAACAAAUUCGGUUCGCUUUUUGGUUCGUAUAAAUUCAAAACCGAAAACCGAAAAAAACGAAAUAAAAAAACCAAACCCGAACCGAAGUACCAACGCCCAUCCCUACGCAAAACGUACACAUAGAUGUGAGAAUGACAAGCAAUUUUGACAUCGGCACUAGAUUUAAUAUCCUAAAGUCGUGCAAGCUCAACAAACUUAAUACAAAGUUGAUAAUUAAGGCCAACCUUAUUAGACUAACUCAAGACUAACUCAAAACCUUAUUAAGCCAUUCAUAUCGACACAAUCAAAAAUAAGACAACAUUAUUUUGAACUCAAUUUGCAAAAAGUCAGCCAGCCUAUAGUACUUACAUGUUCACAAAAAUCAGACCGAGCAACAGAAGAAUAUGAGAGGAAUGACUUUCUUCGUGUCUCGUAUACUUUGAACAUUCAUAGAAAUGUCAAUCAAGACAAAACGAGCAGCAAAUACAUUAGAAUAAGAUGAUUUACAAAUAUUCUUUAAACUAAACUAACUCACAUACUUGCCAAAAUACACCGAACAAAAGAGAAACCAAAGGCCUGAUUUCCCAUGUUUCGCAUAUUUGAGCAUGACACGACAAUAUGUUAAAAAAAAGACGAAGGCCGAGGCGAUAUUGCUUUCUUAGGCUCAAUUUUUAGAAAAAGCAGUAGUUAUAAACACACAUGUUUAACAAGCCCAUAUGUUCGGAUGAGAGACAACUUUUCAAAUAAAAAUUUGGUUUCAUUCAUAGAGUUGAAGGAAAACAACAACGACACGAGUUUAGAAUUGACAUAAAAUUACAUAUUCAUGGAACCGAAUGGAUGAACGAGAAGGAGAUGAGAGGUGAGAUAAAGGGAAGAUUUUACCUUUUGUUGGGCAGCAAACCGAAGCUCCGACGCCAAGGAUUCUCUGGCCACCGAACUUGAACAAGUGAACAACGAAAAGUUUGAAAGUGAGCCGAUUUCUCUAAUGAAUGUUUUGAGCAUAUUUCUUAACGUUUUCCCCCUAUUUUUGAAGGUCCAAAAACCUCCUCACUAAAGCAUGAAAUUAUCGGUAUUUACAGGCAAAUCCGAACUUCAAAGUCCGGAUUAGAAAAGCAAAAUUCGUAGAAAUCAACAGGUGGAGAGAUAAGGAAUUUGAAAUUUAAAAUAAUUGAAAGGGAUGACUCCUUUUGUCGAAUUCGGUCAAUUCCUAGACCAUUAAUGCGAAUUUGAACGUCGUAUAACCACUUUGGUGACUGCUCUGCUGAUUCAAAGAGAAAUCGCAGGCUGCGGAUGAUGAAAAAGAAAGGAAUCUUGUAGGGCUAUGCGGUGGCAAUGACUAUGGUUUGUGAUUUUUGGGUGGUGGAGAAGAGACGGUGAAGAGAGAAGUGGAAGGGUCGUUUGGUUUGUGUUGAUUUUGGGAAAGUUGAAAGAUACAGUUCUUUCUGGGGAAGGAGAGUAACACGUUUUUUCUGAUUUUGGGAGGAGGGAGCGACUUUCUUACUGGUUUGUUUGACACACACACACACAUAUAUAUAUAUAUAUAUAUAGAAGAGCUGGUUUCGACCAACGUUUGUUAUUUACCAUUUUAUUCUUAAUUGCUUCGUAAUUUAUUAUAUUAUUUUUAAUUAAUUAUUAUAAGUUAUUUAUAUAUUAUAAUUAAUAAUAUUUAAUUAAAAAUAGAUAUUUAUAACGUUUGUUUCAGCUGCUUUAAUCGUAUAUUACACCCUAAUUGCUCUGUGAUUUACUAUAUUAUCCCUGAUUAAUUUUUACAAGUCAUUUAUAUAUUAGAAAUUAAUAAUAUUUUUUAUUAUAUUAUCUCUAAUUAAUUAUUAUAAGUUAUUUUUCUUUUUUCUUUUCUAUUAUAUAAAAGAGGUGGUUUCAACAACCUUUUUGUGGAUUUACUUUUUUACCCCAUUAUUUACUAUAUUACAUUUACUAUACAUUUACUAUAUUACCCCAAAUCAUUUACUAUAUUAGGUCUUAAUUGCUCCGUAAUUUAUUAUAUUAUUUCUAAUUAAUUAUUACAAGUCAUUUAUAAAUUAGAAAUUAAUAAUAUUUUUAUUAUAUUAUCCCUAAUUAAUUAUUAUAAGUUAUUUUUCUUUUUUCUAUUAUAUAGAAGAGGUGGUUUCGACCACCUCUUCGUGGAUUUACUUUUUUACCCCCAUUAUUUUACUAUAUUACAUUUACUAUAUUACCCCAAAUCAUUUACUAUAUUACCCCAAAUCAUUUACUAUAUUACCCCAAAUCAUUUACUAUAUUACCCCAAAUCAUUUACUAUAUUACCCCAAAUCAUUUACUAUAUUACCCCAAAUCAUUUACUAUAUUACCCCAAAUCAUUUACUAUAUUACCCCAAAUCAUUUACUAUAUUACCCCAAAUCAUUUACUAUAUUACCCCAAAUCAUUUACUAUAUUACCCCAAAUCAUUUACUAUAUUACCCCAAAUCAUUUACUAUAUUACCCCAAAUCAUUUACUAUAUUACCCCAAAUCAUUUACUAUAUUAGGUCUUAAUUGCUCCGUAAUUUAUUAUAUUAUUUCUAAUUAAUUAUUACAAGUCAUUUAUAAAUUAGAAAUUAAUAAUAUUUUUAUUAUAUUAUCCCUAAUUAAUUAUUAUAAGUUAUUUUUCUUUUUUCUAUUAUAUAGAAGAGGUGGUUUCGACCACCUCUUCGUGGAUUUACUUUUUUACCCCCAUUAUUUUACUAUAUUACAUUUACUAUAUUACCCCAAAUCAUUUACUAUAUUACAUCUUAACUGCUCCAUAAUUUAUUAUAUGAUUCCUAAUUAAUUAUUACAAGUCAUUUCUAUAUUAGAAUUAAUAAUAUUUUAUUAUUAUAUUACCCUAAUUAAUUAUUAUAAGUCAUUUAUUAAAAAUUAAUAAUAUUUAAUUAAAAAAUAGAUAUUUAUAACAUUUGNNNNNNNNNNNNNNNNNNNNNNNNNNNNNNNNNNNNNNNNNNNNNNNNNNNNNNNNNNNNNNNNNNNNNNNNNNNNNNNNNNNNNNNNNNNNNNNNNNNNNNNNNNNNNNNNNNNNNNNNNNNNNNNNNNNNNNNNNNNNNNNNNNNNNNNNNNNNNNNNNNNNNNNNNNNNNNNNNNNNNNNNNNNNNNNNNNNNNNNNNNNNNNNNNNNNNNNNNNNNNNNNNNNNNNNNNNNNNNNNNNNNNNNNNNNNNNNNNNNNNNNNNNNNNNNNNNNNNNNNNNNNNNNNNNNNNNNNNNNNNNNNNNNNNNNNNNNNNNNNNNNNNNNNNNNNNNNNNNNNNNNNNNNNNNNNNNNNNNNNNNNNNNNNNNNNNNNNNNNNNNNNNNNNNNNNNNNNNNNNNNNNNNNNNNNNNNNNNNNNNNNNNNNNNNNNNNNNNNNNNNNNNNNNNNNNNNNNNNNNNNNNNNNNNNNNNNNNNNNNNNNNNNNNNNNNNNNNNNNNNNNNNNNNNNNNNNNNNNNNNNNNNNNNNNNNNNNNNNNNNNNNNNNNNNNNNNNNNNNNNNNNNNNNNNNNNNNNNNNNNNNNNNNNNNNNNNNNNNNNNNNNNNNNNNNNNNNNNNNNNNNNNNNNNNNNNNNNNNNNNNNNNNNNNNNNNNNNNNNNNNNNNNNNNNNNNNNNNNNNNNNNNNNNNNNNNNNNNNNNNNNNNNNNNNNNNNNNNNNNNNNNNNNNNNNNNNNNNNNNNNNNNNNNNNNNNNNNNNNNNNNNNNNNNNNNNNNNNNNNNNNNNNNNNNNNNNNNNNNNNNNNNNNNNNNNNNNNNNNNNNNNNNNNNNNNNNNNNNNNNNNNNNNNNNNNNNNNNNNNNNNNNNNNNNNNNNNNNNNNNNNNNNNNNNNNNNNNNNNNNNNNNNNNNNNNNNNNNNNNNNNNNNNNNNNNNNNNNNNNNNNNNNNNNNNNNNNNNNNNNNNNNNNNNNNNNNNNNNNNNNNNNNNNNNNNNNNNNNNNNNNNNNNNNNNNNNNNNNNNNNNNNNNNNNNNNNNNNNNNNNNUUUUUUUACUAUAUUACUCCUAAUUAAUUAUUAUAAGUCAUUUAUAUAUUAGAAUUAAUAAUAUUUAAUUUAAAAAUAGAUAUUUAUGACGUUUGUUUCAGCUUCUUUAACUGUGAUUUUACUAUAUCAUCCCUAAUUAAUUAUUAUGAGUCAUUUAUGUAUUAAAAAAUUAAUAAUAUUUAAUUAAAAAAUAGUUGACAUGUCUACCUAUAUUACCCUUAAUUUCUCCAUGAUUUACUAUAUUACCCGUAAUUAAUUAUUAUAAGUCAUUUAUGUAUUAGAAUUAAUAAUAUUUUUUACUAUAUUACCCUAAUUAAUUAUUAUAAGUCAUUUAUGUAUCAGAAUUAAUAAUAUAUAAUUAAAUCAAUAUACAUUUAUGUUUGUAUCUCAUCAAUAUCAAAUUUUAGUGAUAAAAAAUAUUUAAAGUGUUGGGCCCGUGCUGACACGGGUCAUGCACCUUUAUUAUAUAUAUAUAUUAAUCUUAAUAAUAAAGGGGAUAAGCAAGUUUGUUGCCUACUUCAGCUGUUUCAACCGUAAUUUUACUAUUUCAUUUUUAAUUAAUUAUUAUGAGUCAGUUAAGUAUUAAAAAAUUAAUAAUAUUUAAUAAAAAAUAAAAAUAAAAUAAUAAAUUAACUCUUGAUGUUUUGUGCUACCUUCUUCAGUUGUUAACUAUUUUCUAAUUAAUUAUUAUAAGUCAUUUAAGUAUUAAAGAAUUAAUAAUAUUAAAUAAAAAAUAGAAACAAAAUAAUAAAUUAAAAAAUGAUAAAAUAAAAAUAAAAAAAUAAAUUAACUCUUGAUGUUUCGUGCUACCUUCUUCAGCUACUUCAAUCGUAAUUUUACUAUAUCACUCCUAAUUAAUUAUUAUAAGUCAUUUAAGCAUUAAUAAAUUAAUAAUAUUUAAUAAAAAAUAAAUUAGACAUAAAAUGAUAAAUUAACUCUUGAUAUUUUAAAUUAAUUUAAUGUCUUAUAUGAGACUUAUUUAAAUUUUAUUUACAAGCAUUUUUUAUAAUAAUUUUGUCUUAUCACUUUAAUUAAUUGUUAUAAGUUAUUUAAGAUAUGUCUGCUUUGUUAUUUCAAUCGUAAUUUUAUUAUAACACCCUAAUAUUAUAACAUUUCAUAAAAAAGAUAAAAUACACACAAAAUGAUAUGUCAACAUAAGAUAUUUAUUUUACUAUCAAAAUUAUAUUAAUGCCACAAAAACUACGAUGGAACAGAGGAAGGCAUAAAGUAACAUAUAUUAUUUAUAAGUGAGAAGAUACGUAAACUAAGACUGGGAGAGUAUUAAUAUUUUAUUAAAAAAUUAUGCUAAAAGCAUUAUAAAUUACAUAUUUAACAACUUAAAAAUUAUAAAAGAUAUAAAAUAUUCAAUUGACACUCGAACUUAUAUUAGUGUCACUUAAAUUGAAAUAGUAACUUUCUACUUAAAAAAGGAAACUUAGAUAAUUAAAUACAAAAAAAAAUUAUGUAAACAUAAUAGUUUCAAAGAUGCAAAAAUCAUUUUCAGAAGACCCAAAACUCUUAAGCAAUUCAAAGUACAAAAAAUAUAGAGAUUCUAAGUAUUAAUAUAAAUAGUGAAUUAAAAUUGAAAUAUUAUAUAUCUAAAUUUGAACACUAAAAGAAUCUCUAAAAAGUUUUAAGCACUUCAAUAAUUAAAAAUUUAUUUUAUAAAAAUUAAUAAGGCAUUUUAGAACCAUGCAAAGCACGGGCAAAUUCACUAGUUAAUAAGAAGAGUAACUUAGAAAUGCAAGAUAAAGUUAUCACAUAAUUUUUCAAACGUGCUUGCUCCUGAUCUAGGGCAUUUUUGACAUUUUGGUCCUUUAAUUUGUUUAUCCCUUUUUUCCCAUAUGUUGUAAUGUAAAAAUUACAUUAAAAAUAUUAUAGAUUAAUUAAUUAAUAAUUUAAAAUAUUUAAAUGUAAAAUAAAAUUUGAUUGGGUCUCAAAAUUUUAUCAGUACUACUAGGGGUGGCAAAUGGGCAGGUUAGGCUGAAUUUAGGCGGAUCAAAAUGGGCUAAAGUAACAAAUGGAUCAUUGCUCAACCCGCCCAAAAUAUAGAUGGGCUAAGAUGGGUAGGGUCAAGAUGAGUUAAACAAUGAGUUAUAGCCCAAUCCGCCCAACGUAACCCAUCAUUAAACAAUAUUAUAAUAGAAAUUUAGGUUGAAAUGAUAUUUUAUGAUUUUCUUUUUAUAUUUAUAUUUAUAUUAUUAUAAUUAUUAUUUUUAAGUAAAAAUAAAGAAAACUAAAAAAAUGCAAUAAAAUUAUUCACAACACAACCUACCCUGUAUCUCAAGUGUUUAAUUUCGAUCCAUAAUUUAAAACCAUCACACCAACAAAGUUAAUUAUAAUGCUCUUCUUGAUAUUCGUUCUCUCCUUGAUUAACUAGACAUAAGGACUAUACUAUCUUUUAAACUUGAAUUUGUAUUUUUAUUCAUAGUAUUUUCUAUGUAAUUUAUUUUAAAACCUCUUGUAUGCAAAUUGAAAAAAAACUAGGGGGUGGGUCUGGAUAGAGAGGGUGGAUGGGGUAAGAAAAAAAGAAAAUAUCUUUUUUUUUUGGACGGAGAGGGGAGAUGGUGCAAGAAAAAAUUUCCUUUUAAAAAAAAUAAGUUGAAAAAUAUUUCUUUUGAGAAGAGGGAGGGGGAAGGGGCUGGGGGGUCGAUAUAAGGGGAGAUAGGUGGGGUUAAAAGGUUAUUUAUCUUUUUAAAAAAUAAAUUUUAAAAAAUAUUUAACUUUUUUUUUUUGGGGUAGGGAUGGGGUUGGGGUCGGAGGAUGGUAUAAUUUUUUCAAGACGGAAAAAAAAUAUGAUUGAAGCAACUAAAAAAAAUUAAAAAUAUUAAAAGUGGGAAAAUAAGUACUAGGUUUAAACAUCUUUAUGGGUCAAAGUGAAAAAAUUAACUAAAUAAACUUACUAGAUUGUUUAUUGCAAGUUAUAGCAACUCUUUUUAGUUUUCAAGUUAUAACAAACUUUCGUUAAAAAUACCAAAAAUAUAUAUAUAUUUAAAAAAAAAAAUCAAAAUCAUUACAUAAAAGGAAAAUGCAGAUUUAAUAUAACCAAACUACAAUAUUCCUUCCUUAAAUAUAGUUAAACUUAAUAAUUGAUAUCAAUCACACCCUCUAAUUUCUCUCUAACUGUUUUUAUUUCUCCCCUUUUAAAGCAUUCAUUUUUGUUUCCAUCUUCAUACACGUUCUUUUUUUUUUUUCUACAAUAUAUAUUAUUUCAGUAAACAACUUUCAUAAGUUAUUGUUGUUUUAUGCAACUUCUAAAAAAAUUUAUUGAAAGAAAAGCUUUCAUAAGUUAUUGUUGUUUUAUACAAAUAUGAAUUGUGAUAAUUUGCAUUCAAUCAUAAGACGUCAUGGAGGGAGAUGAGAUUCGUCAAAUAUGUUAAAUUAUUUAGCAAAUUGAUAUUUUGCAUUUAAACGUAUUUAAAGAAUUAAAUAUUUUUGUUUUAAACAAUUUAGGGAUAAAAUAAUUAAAAUAUUUUUGUAUAUUUUUCUUCAAUUCUUUAUUGUUAAGAUGUUGAAAUUGUAUAAUACGAUGAAAUACUCUUAAAAGAUUAACUGUAGUUGUUAUUGUGUAUGUUUAUGGGAUGCAUGCUAUAAUCAAAACUUAUAUAAUAGUAGAAGCAAUUGCAAUACAGCUAAUGAUAGACACAACUUCAAAUCAAUUUAAAAUAAAGUACAUAAUAAGUGAUAGAUGCCCGUCAAUGGUCAUAUACAAUGACACGAGUGUGUAGAUCUAUCUGGAAUAAAAGAAGGCAGUUGCUGAUAUUUUUGUAAAAUAUCCAUUGUACAUUACAACUAAGGAUAUAUCGUUCGAGCCAAUACAUCCAAAUGAAGAAGCAAUUGUUUAUGUUGAAAACAGAGUUUUAACGAAAGAAUUCAGAGCGGAGAAAUUUAUUUUCAAAUGAUUGCGUUCGUUUGAUAGGUUUAAGUCCAAAUUUUGAAGAAGUUAAAGAAGAACGUGUUGAAAUAAUUGGUGAUACAACAAAUACAUUAGAAUGUUACUAGCAAUCAUGGUGGUCUCAAAAGAUCCAAGAGAUCUGUUCGGAAAUUCAUAACCCUACAAGUCACAAAUCAAGGAUGUAAUAGAUGUUUAUGUCCAACCAUGAAUUUUUUUUUCCAGUUGUGACUUCUUUGAAUGUAAUAGGUUCGAACUAUUUUUGUUCAUGAAAAAUUCCGUUAAACUUUAUAAAAUAUAUUUUUUCAUUAAAAUUCGUAUCACGAUUUGAAUAUUUUUUAUUUAUAUCAUGAUCGCUAUCAUUGAUGUUUAUAUAAAUUAUUAUGUUAUAUUGAAAAUAUUUUAUUAAGUUGAUAUUCAUUAUUGUGUAUGUUUUUACGUUUGUAAUGCUCAAUUAACAUAUAUAUAUAUAUAUGUGUGUGUGUGUGUGUGUGUGCGCGCGCGUGUGUGUGUGUGUUUUAUCAUGUAUUUAUAACAUCUUACACAUACACUCAAUUCCAAGAAUUUAACAAAUUUGUUGACUUGACUUAACAAAUUGAAGGAUCUAGCUAUUCAUAUAUCUAGCAAAAUGAGUUGUUUGUUGUAAAUAUUGAUUUUUCUUUGGAGGUACUCCACUUUUUGUAUAGGAUGAUACCUCAUACACUAUGACUCAAUUGCUUAAGUGUUCUUAUCAAGUGCAUUUAGUUCCUCUCGUUGUAUCAAUUUUAGAUUAGUCUUUCUAUAAAAAUAGAUCAUUAUUGUUUGAUUACAACUAGAUACAUGUGUUUUUAUUCUUAACCACCUAUGUAUCAACUUCAUAUAAACAACAUAUGAUUAAAAACUUGAUAAAUAACAAGUUUGCUAACUUAAAAUUAAAGUUAUUAAGCCUUAGAAGUGAGAAAAUUUUUAAUCCAAACGAAGGAACGAAUGAUGAAAAAUCUAAUUUUAUAUGCAUGAAUAUCAAAAAAGAAGAUAAAAAAGAUGAUUUAUGGUAAAAAAAAAAAACUUUUAUCAGUAAAGUGACACUGAAAAUCGUAUAAGUAUAGAACUAUAAACUUAAUUAACAAAGUUAAUAAAAAGUCAAAAAUAAUGUAUCAAUGUAAAAAAAUAUUUUUACCAUAUUUGACUCCUUAAAUUGUGAACAUAUUUUUAAAAGGGUAAAAUUCAGAAGUAGCAUACUUAAGAGCCUAAUUACUAGUUUUAUAGCAACAGUUUCAUAAUUACAUUUUAUAGCAACUUAUAUUUUGUAUUUUUAAAAUGUUCCUGUAAAAAUACAUCUACAAAAAAGUUACUGCACUUAAUUAACUGAAAUUAGUUGAGCUAUAUAUGGUAUAAUUACCAAUCAAGUAAAUAUGUUGACUCCUUUUCCAUUUAAAACUCUUAAAAAACGUGACAUCCGUUAUAAUUUCAUAAUUCAAAUUUCAGUUUUUCACCAUUAACAGCUGCAUCUUUUCUUAGCAAUUUCUUCUAAACCAACCCUGUGUUGCUGAAUCAAAUUAAACUGAUUCUUCUUCGAAAUCAACAACAAUUACAAAACGAAGCAGUUAUUCGAUUGAAUCAAAUUCAAUUGUUGAUUCAUCUGUUGCAUUUGUUUGAAUUCAACUGUCAGUUGAAAAUUCAACCAUUACUACUGUUGAAGGUACAUAAUCAUUAUUGCUAUUCAGUUCAUUUUGUUUAACCAUUACUGAUGUGCCUAUCAAGUUUUGGUUGGCGUCGUUAAUUUGUAUGUGAAAAAAUUGUAAAACAAAUUCGAGUUAGAAUCAAGGCAGCAGUAAAAUUGGAAUUAAAGUAUCUGUUGCAAAUUUCAUUUUUAAAGUUAUUUCAAUGGGAAAAAAAUGAGUAUUCGACUCUAUUUUUGAGGAUCUUUUGUUGUUAUUUUGAUUGUUUUAACAAUAGAACAAUUGUAAACAACUUGCAAAUUGAAGUACAUUCAAUUUUUUUUUUAAAUACUAGAUAAAUGAAUGAUCGAAUGUAUCUGUUGAAUUUGAUGAUAUUCUAUGAACCCAGAUAAAAGUAUUAAAUAUCUUCUCCAUAUGUAUUUUUGAUGUGCUUAGUUGUAACACUGCAUAUGCAUUUUUUGAUAUUGUUAAUGAUAACACUGUAUAUGUAUUUUUGUUUUUGUUGUCAAAAUUUUAUAGUAUAAAUGUAUAUUUGAAAAGAUAUUUUAGUUUAAGCUAAUGUUGUGUAUAUGUACUUUUUAAAUUGAGAUGUUGGUUGUGUAUCUUUGUUUGCACUUAAAUCUGAAAAGUGCGUGUUAUAAGAAGUGAUAUUUGACAAAUAUGUAUGUAACAUAUCAAAUUACAAAUUAGGUAUGCUCCAGAUGUAGUUUUUGAUAUGCUUAAUGUUAACACUGCAUAUGUAUUUUUUAUGUGAUUUAAGGUAACACUGCAUAUGUAUUUUUGUUUUGCUUGUCGGAAUUUGAGAGUAUAAGUGUAUAUGUGAUAAUAUAUUUCAUGCCGGUUUUACUUCCGUUUGAUUAAGUAGUUUCUGUAUUUUAUAUUUUAAACUAAACAAAUGUUGUUUAAAUGUAUUUUUUAAAUAGAGAUGUUGACUGUGUAACUUUAUCUGCACUUAAAGUUGUAAAGUGUGUGUUAAAAUAAGUGAUAUCUAACAAAUAUAUAUAUUUGUUUAUUUAUUGCUUAAAUCAAGUAGAAAUGAGAAGCAUACCAAUCCUUGUGAAGCACUCUGGUUGAUGGACGUACGAAAAGAACUUCGAAAAAUAUGUCACUGAUGCUAUACUGUUGAGCACAUCAGUAACAUUCGUUGAGCUGCACGAUAUUUUGGCAUCUCACUUAAGUGUGGAUUUAACCAUCAAACGUAUUCUAGUGGAAUAUCAAAUCACUCCUAAUGCAGGGCAGAUAGAAAUAUAUAACGAUAUGGGUUUAAAGGUGUUUGCAUUACAGAAAAAGCUGAUACAAGACAUGAAUUGUCUUCUUUUAUAUGUAAGCAUUUUGGAUAAAGUUGUAGGGAUCAACUUAGCAAGUUCAUCUAUAUAUGUUGCUGAAAGAGGAAUCAACUGUAACAACUUGGAAACAGUGAUAAAUACAACAAAUGAAGGAGCUUUGGUGGUUUGUGAAAAUACAGAAGCAUUACAUGUUUUUGAGAUGGAUCCUGUUGAGGCGAUUAUCUCAGACCCACAUCAUAAGCAUGUUAAGAAAGACUAGGUUUACUUGAGAAAAAGAAUUUUAAAGUCAGUUAUGAAGGACUAUUCAAUUAGGGAGAAGUUUCAAAUGCGCAGUAAAAGGUCAAGUAAGAAAACGUACGUACAUUCUAUACCUCUCAGAUCUUGUUUGAUAUUAGUUUGGAUAUGUAUUUUGAAUGUAAUAAAUUAUGUUGCGUGCAGGUAUACAUUCUUUUGCAAAUCAAGAAACUGCGAGUUUUUAAUGCGUGCAUCAGGAAUGUUUAGAAUAAGAGAAUUCAGACCUCAACAUACAUGCUCGGUGAAGGACAAGAUCUAUCCAAAGGUGCAUGCAACUAGUAUGUUGAUAGCAGGUAUGGUUAAACAGAAAUUCAAAUAUCACAAACGAAAAUACAGUGCGACGGAAAUAAAAAAUGACAUGAAGGAAGAUUUUGGUAUGGAUUUGACAUACACUUUAUGUUUGAGAGCUAAGGAAAGAGCGUUAGAAGAGUUCAGGAGCAAGCCAUCAACAUCUUAUGGUAAACUGCCAUCAUACUUAUAUGUGCUGAAUACUACCUAUCCGGAGUCACAUAUAAGAAUGAAGAAGACAGAUGAUAAUGCGUUCUUGUAUGUAUUUAUUGCUCUACAUUCAUUCAUUAAAGGAUUCGAUCAUUGUAAACUAGUCGUAGUUGUUGAUGUUAGUCAUCUGAGAGGAAUGUAUACUGGGGCAUUUGUAACAGCAUGUACACGGACGGAGCAAGUUAGUAUUAUUUACUUAGUAUAACUGAUUGUAUUUUUUUCUUUCUGUUGUUGACUUGAAAAAUACAUAUAUCCAGUUCAUAUAUACAUAUUUGUAUAUAAUUAGAUAUAUGUUCAAAGUUUUCUGAAUGAAACAUGUAAAAUUGAUUAUGUUUAUUGAUUAUGUUUGAUAGUGAGGUUCAUUAAAAUUUUAUUAUAUGUAAUUGAUACCAUUUCUGGUAGAUAAAAGAUAUAUUUUAAUUGGCCUAUAUUGUAAUAAAUACAUAUGCAGUUCCUAACUGUAUUUAAAUCGGCCUGCGCAGAUUUUUUUUAUAUGUGCAGGUUAUAUAUUUUGUUUGGCAUAUGGUGUGUUUGAUUCUGAAAAUGAUGAAUUAUGUAUAUAGGUCAUAUAUUUCCUUUGGCAUAUGGUGUGCUUGAUUCUAAAAAUGAUGCAUCCUGGACUUGGUUCUUCGAGAAUCUAAAGGAAACGUACGGAGUAAGAAAAAACAUGUGUGUUGUGUCUGAUAGGAAUCCAACAUGUGUGUUAUGUCUGAUAGGAAUCCAAGCAUCAUAAAGGCUGUUGGUGAUGUGUACGAAGAUGUUCCACAUUAUGCAUGUAUGUGGCAUCUAUGGGAAAAUGUAAAAAAACUUUACAGAAAGUCACACGAUGCAUUGUCGGAGAUCUUUUAUACAAUGGCCAAAUCAUAUUCAAAGUCAAAAUUCCACAUAUUAAUGGAAAAAGUUGAGGCAACUGAUAUUAGGGUGAAGAUAUAUUUGGAAUUGGCGGGUUACGAAAAAUGGGCUAGGUCGUAUGCAACAGUUCACCAAGGAUGGACUUUGACUUCAAACAUUGCGGAGUCAAUAAAUGGAGUGCUUGUAUCAGCUAGAGAACUGCCAAUUUAUGACUUUCUUGAGGAAGUUCGAUUAUUGUUUGCAAAAUGGAAUUGUGCAAAUAGGCAGGAGGCUUUAUUUACCUUCACAACACUCAUUAGAAAGUUUAAUAACAUACUCAGUGAGAAUGAGGCUUUGUGUACCCAUAUGACGGUAUGACCAUUUAGAUUUGUGGAAGUUAUAAUUAUGAAAACAUAAAUAUGAAAAUACUUUUCAUACAGUUGUAAAUAAAUGAAAAGAUAUAAAACAUAAAAAAUAUGAACAUUUAAAAUACAUAAUAUGUAUUUUGCAGAUGUAUUUUGUUGUAUUGAAAGUUAUUAACAACUGUAUAUGUAUUUGGCUACUCUGUAAAACUGUACUCUGCAUAUGUAUUUUUAUUGCAUAAGUAUUUUUUUUAAAAUGCUGGUGUGCUUACAACAUAUAAUGGAAUAUUGAAUUCAUAUUUUUGUAUCACUGCAUUUAAUUUUUUUAUUUUUAUGUCAGGUUGUACCAGCCAUAGAAUAUGUGUAUACGGUACACGAUAAACAAAAGCACUUCAUUGUUUGCAUCAAAGAAAAGAAGUGCUCAUGUAAUGCUUUUCAAAUAGAUGAGAUACCAUGUGCACAUGCUUGUGCGGUGUUGGAGAAAAAGAAUUUUGAGAAGAGGCCAUACUGUUCUGAUUUGUUUAAACCAAAAACUAUUUUGAAGACAUAUGAUGUUCCAAUCUACCCGUUGCUGCACAACGAUGACUGGAUAAUUUUAGAGAGCACACUUGGUGAAAUAGUACUGCCUCCAAAAUACAAAAGACCUCCAGGAGGACCUGCAAAGAAGGAUCGUGAAAAAUCAGGUCGGGAUAUAUUUGGAAAGAAGAAUAUCAACUCAUGCGGUGGUUGUGGGGUUAAGGGUCACAAAAGGCGCUCUUGUAGGAAAUAUCGCAAAUGAUACAUUUCUUCUUCUGUAUUAUUUCUUAAUUUUUUUUUUCAUUUUUUAUAAUGAUGAACUAAUUCAGUUUAGUUAAUGAAUUUAUGAAUCAUUUGACAAAUGAAGACAAUAAUAUCUGAAUAAUGGAAUUAUAUAUGUUUCAAAAUCUGUACAUUACAUAUGUAUUUUUAAGCAGCAGUUCAUAAGUAUUUUUGACAUUGUAAAUAUAUAUUAGUUUAAAGGUGAUAACUUUGAUUAACCAAACAAGUAUAUGAUUCGUAAUUGUUCAAAGGUUUAAAUAAUAUAUAUGACAUAUAAAUAUAUGUUUAAAUUGCAUAAUGUUAUUACUGCAUAUGUAUUUAUACUGUAAAAAAUACAUUUGAUGUAUAAUUCAUAUGUAUUUUUUUAAAAAAAUAUAAUCACUGCAUAUGUAUUUUGUAACUAUAAUCAAACCUAUAACUGCAUAAAAAAAGUCAAAUUUAUCUUUAAUUCAAAUUCUCUUGUAUAAUGAUUUUAAAUGAACACAUAUCAAAAUUAAAUAUUAGGUUUGAUCAAUAUGUAUUUUCCAAAAGCUUUAUAUUAACAUGAAAUAUGUAUUUUUUGGAAAAUAUUUAUAAUGUAUAAUCCAUAUGUAUUUUAUAGCAAAAUAUCACCACUGCAUAUAUAUUUUGUAAAUAACUGCAUUAAAAUGUCAAAUUACAUUUUAAUUUAAAUCCUAAUUUAUAAAUAUAGUUAAUGAAAAUAUAGUAAAAAUGCAUAUUAGUUAUGUUGCAGUUGUAUUUUUGAAAUAUUUGAUUCUAACAUUUCAUAUGUAUUUUUUUUGCUGAAAAAUAAUUGAUUUAUAUUACAUAUGUAUUUUUAAGCAGAAUAUGAAAACUACAUAUGUAUUUUUUAACUAAAUAUCUUUAAAGAACAACAACAACAUACUAAAAUACAUAUUAGGAAUGGUCCAUAUGUAUUUUUGCAAUAUUUAAUUUUAACACUGUAUAUGUAUUUUUAGUCUAAAUAAAAUUGGUUUAUACGAUAUAUGAAUUUUUAAAGAUAAUAUAAAAACUAUGCAAGUAUUUUUUUAACAAAAUCUCACAGUAAAAGGUAGAACUCCAUGAAAUAUGAACAAAUUCAAAACAUAAAAAUUAGUCUGUACAAUCAAAACCUAUAUCCAUACACUAGUUUCUAAAGUACAAAAAGUCUAAAAUCAAUCAACCAUCAUACAUCAACAACUUCAGUGACACUAGUUAUUCUACUUUGCCUUGCAAGGCUCACGGGUGCUUCAACAUCACUAAUGGCAUUUGCUUCUUAUUUUUGGAUCCCAUAAUCCCACAAAAGUGCAGUAUAUCUUGUACGGAGUGCAUUGGGGUCGAACUCAGUUGCAAUAACUUUGUGACCAUAAGAAAGGCAUUCUGCAUAUAUAACCAUAAAGACACCACAAUCCCUACAAAAAAAAAGAAAACAAAUUUGAUUAAAUAGUGAAAUAUAUUUUGUACAAAGAUACAGUUUUGGUAUAUGUAAUUUCAAAACUUACAAGUUUCUACUGUUGUUGAGGCAAGUCAUCUUCAAAUAAAAUAUCAAACAUAUCUGAGGAUUCUUUGUCUUUGUAUCUUGGAUGGUUUUGAAGAUCAAUUCCUUUCUUAACAUAGAAAUCACAAGCUUGGAGACACAAUGGAAUAAUUUUGCUAUUUUCUCGAUCUCAGCAAGAAUAGCCACAUAAUGACCAUUGGAUUCACAUGAAUCAUAUAAGAAUAUACACCUCUUUAAAAAUGAUAAAACCACAAGAACCUAGUGAUGUUUUUCCUUUAUAUUGACAGGAAUAAAGAUGUCUUUCACUGUAUGCCAUGGCACUGCAGCAUGCAUACGGAACCUAUUGAUGUAUUCAAUAAGAUGGUGCUCCUGUACUCCAUCUUUAAGAUUUUGAUGAUCCAUAGAAUAUACAUCAUUCAAAGAUCUAAUUACGUUCAUUAAGUUGCAGUCUGUAUAAUUUGUUUGGCUCAUUUUUGUACGAACUGUGCGGCCCAUACUUCAACUUCUUCCUCAAGUAGUAUAAGCAGACAUUAAUAUGCUGCAUUAGUGAAUACGACAAACUUUAGAGCAUUCAAAAAAAUUGUAUUCUAAAUGUUGCAGUGUAUGCAAGUAAAAAAUACAUAUGCAUUUUUUUAUAUUAAUGUAGAUGACUUGUGUAUCAAAAAUUGCAUUCUUAAAGUUCAGUUAUAUGCAGACAAUGUUAUCUAAUAGUAUAUGCAACAAUAUUUGAUGUAUUAUACUAUAUCAUACUUUGAAUUCUUAAAAAUACAUACAUGUUAAACCAUAUGCAUUUCAAUGUAACCUAAUAUGUAUUUUUAAUUAUUGUUACAGACGAAAUGAAAAAAAAUUCAAAAUAAUAUACUAACCGAGUUUGUCCAUGUCUGAUCUGCAAAUCCCAUCGUAUAGAACCAGUUUUUGUCUUCAACAGUCUUAACACCAAAAUGCAUCUUUGGAAUUUCUGAUUUUCCCCUCUUGUAAUGAUCCACUUUUUCUUUCCUAUGUAUUUUAAGGAAUUGGUAAAACAUUAAAACAUUUAUUGAUAUAAAAAAAUAAUUUGUCGCAAUUCAAAAGAACUACCUCUUAGCAGUAGCUUUUAAUAGGUCGGUAGAAAUCCAGUCCUUGAAGUUCUUGACAAUUUUUGAAUCUAUUAUCUCAUCAAUCGGGUGAUAUAAAAAUGGAUGUUUCUAGGGGAAUAUGCGUAUUAGCCCUGCUGAUCUACCUAUAUAAUUAUAGAAUAUAAAAACUUAAUAAAAACAAAUGUAUUUGCAAGACAUAUUACAUAAAAAAUAAUAUAUAUCUUAUUGUAAUUACCAGCAGCUGAACCAAAUUUUUUGGUGUAUGGCGAUUUCUUGAAUUUUAAUGGUCGCCUGAUCCUUAACUUUGAUCUGGGAGUGUUUACUUCACGAUUAGCGGAUGGAUGAAUGGUGAUGCUUUUUUGAUUGUAAACAUUCAAGCUAGGUAGAAACUCAUCCAGGAUUGUGUUUUGUGAAUCAGGCCACAAUUGUUCAUCCCUCUGUUCAUCAUUGGUUACUUCAUAUGUAUUACGAGGUGUGCUAACUUGCUCCUCGGUAGCAAGUUCUACGUCUGAAUCAGUGAUUCCUAUGUUCAUCUAACAAAAAGAUUGAAAAAAGAAUAUUACAUUUUUUCCAUCAAAUUGAACCUAAAUAAACUCAAAAUAUAUAAUAGUUAAUACAUACUUGAUCAUGAUCUUCAAUAACAGUCUCAGAAGUUUUUGCAUCCAAAAUUUCAUGAUGAGAUUCUUCUUGAUGGUUUGCCGAUGGAUGUAUGAUGAUGCUCUGUAUUUGAUAUACAUUUAGGCUAGGUAACAUCUCAUCAGGGAUUAUGAAUUACGAAUCAGACAAAAUUAUUUCAUCAAUUUUCUCAUCGCUGGUCUGCAAAAAAAUAAAAUAAAAAAUUUAAUUUUCCUCUGAAUUAUUACAUGACAUGAAAAAGUUAACAUCACUAUAUAUACUUGACAAUCAUGUUGAACAAUCUUCUCCGAAUAUAAGUAAUCCAAAUUUAUACUUCAGAGAAGCUCAUCAGGGAUUAAUUGUUGAGAAUCAAUUUCAACAUUCAUUUUUUCCGAAUGCAAAUCCGUGCACCUCUUGAAAACAAGUAUAAAAAUCAAAACAACAAACAAACAUGUACUUGUAUCUGUUUAUAUAUGUAAAUUCAAAUGAAUAUAUAUAUGAAACUUAAUUAUUUACCUUUUUACCAAGCAAAUUUGCCUCCAAUUUUCAAUCAACCUCCGAACUUAAUCGUUGUGGUGAUCUUUCGGUACCAACAUAAUCCAUAUUCUGGAGGUCAGGAUAUUUAUCUGCAUGUUGUUGCUACAAAUACAUAUACAAAUUAAAAUAACAUAUUAAAACUUGGGUCAAAUUUAAUAUUUUUUUUAUGAAACUGAAUAUACAUAUUUAUAUAUAACAUCAAACUCAAAAAUACAUAUUAUAGAACAUAACAAAAUAAUCACCCAGUGUUAAAAUACAUAUGCAGUGUUAAUAAAUACAUAUGAAUAAAACUAAAAAUACAUAUGCAGUGUUAAAAAUACAUAUGAAUAAAAUUAAAAAUACAUAUGCAGUGUUUAAAAAUAUAUAUGAAUAAAACUAAAAUACAUAUGCAGUGUUAAAAAAUACAUAUGAAUAAAACUAAAAACAUACUGUGUCGCAUGUUAUAAUAUUUUUAAUGAACCAAAUAAUAUUUACUGUUAUUUGAGCAUCCUCAAAAAUAUAUAUAUAUAUAUAUACACUACAUGUGAUGUAAAAAAUAAUUGUAUUUAUUGAACAAUGCAUAUAUAUUUAAGGAAAAAAUACAUAAAGUAUCAACAGCACAUAAACAAAUUCUAUUUCAAAUUUGACAAUUCUAUUAACCUCAACUAUAUUUUGAAUAUAAAAUUUAAAAGUACAAGUAAAUAUGUAUUUGGAACUUUAAUAUUUACCUUUGUACCGUCAGAAAUAUUAUUCAAAGAUUGAACAACAUCAAGACUGAAAUGUUGUCCAGAUUGCUCUAAGCCUCCCUCAUCAACAUUUAGUUUAUCAGCUUCUAUAUCUACAACCUGCUCCUGAAAAAUUUAUGUCCAAUAACAUAACGAGUUAUUUUACAAAAUAUGUUGUAUUUGUAUAAGGCAGUCCAAUAAGUAUAUAUAUUCAAAUCAACUAAGAUUUUCAAAAAAAAAAAUUUACCUUGCUUUGAGCGAAUGCUUUCUUCAACUUUUUGAUUUUUUUCUCAUUAGUCCGUGAAUUCCUUUAAACUCGUGACGAACCUGUUUUGAUAAAAAGUCUAUAUACAAUUUUUUUUCCAUGUAAAAUAAAUUAUUUGCCCAAAAAAAUUACCUUAUCGCGGAAUGCAUCAAAAUCUUUCUUAGAAAUAAAGGCUUCUUUCUCAACAUGACUCUCAGGCUUUGACAUGGCUACUUCCUCUACAUGAAUAUCUGGCUUUGAGUGUACCUGAGGAAAAAUAACCCGAGCUGUUUGCUUUUCUUUCUUCAUUUUUGAAGAAGAUGCUUGUCGUGUUGGAAUUGGCUUGAAAACUGAUGUCUUCAUUCCAUCAGCCUUUGCAGCACGAGGAGCUGGUGUCCUCGUUUGGGUAUGCUCAUCAAAACUAUCUACUUGCUUUUUCCUUAAAGGUUUCUUCGCUACUGGUGUUGAGGAAUCAACCUUCUAUUUCUUCUUUGAAAUUUCGUUGAUCUUUCUUGGUGGUGGAUCCUGAAAGUUAUCAUCAGAAUCAACAGAACGUUCAUGUUGUAUUGCAUCCUUCUGUGGUAUUUGCAAUUUUGAUAGCUCAUGUUUCGUUGGCUUUAUGUUCUUAAAGACAACCUAAAAUAAUAGGCAAAUAAUAUAUGUUAAAGAAUCAGUUAAAAAAUUGUAAAUGAAAAUAUAUAUAUGUAUACUGUAAAAUACAUAUUAAUACAUAUGUAUUUAGUAACAACAAACCUUGCCAUUGUCAUUGAACAUAGCAUUAAUAAAAGACUCAAAGUGUGGACUAGGUGCAAUCGUCUUUCAAUUUAAUAAUCGGAGAAUCCGAUUAUCAACCUUCGAUGCAAUCUUUGGUGGGACAUUUGAACAACGCUCGUAAAGCCACAUUUGAAUAGCCAGUGGCAUUCUCUGAAUCAAAUAAAAUUGAUCACCAGCUUUCAACCGGUUGUUCAAACUUCUGGCCAGAUCUUCAAAAGAUAAAAAAACCCAUGGAAAAUCCUUAUAUCUUCCACUAUCGAUCAAAUUGAAAUGAAGACGGGGUAUUACCACAGUUUCAACAUUAGAUAAGACAAAUGAAUGCAGGAAGUAUAGGAUUGCAAAUUUCUCAGCAUCCGCAUCAUUGUUCUCCUCCCAUAUUCUCUCCGUGAAUGCUAGAAAUAGUUGUCUUUUCUAUAUAAUUUCUACCCCAUUGAAAUACUUCUCAACCGUCCUAUUUGGUACACCCUCAUUAAAAAUAAAGUCAUACCUAUUUGACACACAAUUCAAUUCAGUUAUGAUAGCAAAUUCCCUGGGAAUAAAAUUAAGAAAGGUCCCAUUAGCAAAAAUCAGAAUCCCAAAAGAAGAACUACUAUUCACCUUAAGCGUCAUAACGCAUCUGCACAGCUGUGCUUGCACUACACAUUACUGCUUCUUCAUAAAAUAACCAAAAAUAUUUUUGUCGCAAAAGUUUUUAAACUGUUCCUUGUUUAAAAUUGCGCGUAUGCUUCCAUAAAUAUCUUUGUCACUGUAAGAACACAUGUGUGGUGCAAAUUUUGAAAGUUUUCUGACAAUGAACAUUUCAUCUCGCAUCACCUAUACAAAGAAUCAUAUAACAUGCAACCAAAAAAUCAAGCAGCCAAUAAGAAUAAAAAAUAUAUAACAGGCAUAUGUAUUUUUAUCAUAUCAAAACUGCAACCAACACUGAAAAAUACAUAUCAAAUAUACUAAAAAUACAUAUAGUCAAUAGACUAUUCUGGUAUUUAAGCUAAAAUUAACAUGCACAUGUAUUUUUAUCAUAUCAAAACUGCAACCAACACUGAAAAAUACAUAUCAUAUGUACUAAAAAUACAUACAUCCAACAGACUGAUGUAGUAUUUCAAGUAAAAUUAACAUGCAUAUUUAUUUCUUACCAUAUCAAAACUGCAACCAAUACUAAAAAAUACAAAUCAUUUAUUCUAAAAAAUAUAUAUAGCCAAUAUACUCUUCAUGAGUAGUUAAUACAACAAUAUAUUUUCACAAUUAUACUAUCAUCUUCACAAAUCAACAUUCAAUCACAAAAUAUCAUCAUAACACCAAAAUACAUAUUAACUACAUCAAAAAAAUACAUAUAACUUACAACUUUAACAUCUUUACUUGGGGCAAAAUACAUUUUAAUCAAAAAAUACAUUUAGAAUCAAAAAAUACCUCUUCCUCGCUAAUAUCUUCAGAAUCAUCAUCAAAAGAGAUCUGAACAUCCUCAUCAACCUAAGUCAAACCUUCAAUUUCUUUUGCUUUUCUUUUCUUCUCAUUUUUUUAAAUUUUUUUUCCUUCUGAGAAGGCUAUUUCUUCAAAGAUUUUUUUUUCAAAAUUUUUUUCAUCUUCAGUGGAUCGUUGCGAAAUUUUGACCUAAUCUCCUCCGGUUUCUCAGAUUUCUUUGACUGUAAAAAAUUUGAAACAAUUUUAACUACAUCUUCUUGAGUUAACCCAAGACUAAAAGAUGGUCCACAAUCAUAGACCAAAUUUGAAUUACUUAUACCACUAUUUGUUCGUGAUUUUAGUGUUUGUUCAUCCAUUAAAAUCAAAAACCUUAAAUUCUGAUUUUGAGAUAUAUUAGAGUUUGCUAAUUCUGAAAUUUACCAAAAAAAAAAAUGCUAACAUGCAAUAGGUAAAUUAAGAGUUACCUGAAAUAGAUGAAGAUAAUCUUUACUGAUGAUGCUAAAAUCGUGCAAAGUGAAAAAAAUGAGAGCGGGAAGAUAUACUUUAGCGCGAAAAAAUGACAAAAAAUCUUUCAAAAUAUUGAAAGAGAAAGCUAAUGGCGUGAAAAGAGAAAAAACUUACAGUUACUUCUCCAAGUGGGUAAAAAGUAGGGACCACAUAAAAUAAUGCUAUGGAUAUUACAAAAUGUAAUUUAAUAAAAUUGUUGUUAUUUUUUAUAAUUUCAUGCUUAAGUUUGAUACUUUAUGUAUUUUUUCCUUUUUAAAACAUUUAAUAAAAUAAAAAAAAGAGAUAAUUAUUGAUACCAACAAUAAUACUUACCAUAAUUAUCAAAAGAUUUAAUGAAGAGUGAUAAAUGUUGAAGGCUAUAAAUAAGAAUAUAAUGUGAAUAUUAAAUAUGACAAAAAAUGAUUUUCUAAUAGUUUUAAAAAAUAUUUUUCUUUAAAGUUGCUAUAACUUGCAAUUAUUUCUUUAGUCUAGUAAUUAUUAAAAAGUGUUGCUAUAACUUGUAAUAAACAAUCUAAUAAAUAUAUUUAGGAUAAUUUUCACGUCAAAGUUGGGUAUCAUUGUGAACCCAUUUAGAUUGAUAAUUUAUGAUGGCUUUAUUUGGGCUGACCCAAAUCAGCUCAUAUUUAAAAUCACUCUAAGCCAACCCAUCAGAACAUGAACGAAUUGGGUGAAUCAAAUGGGUUUGAGCUAGUUUUACCACCUCAAGUGCUACAUAAAUUGGAAUAAAAAAAGUGACAUAUAUUAUUAAAAAUUGACAUAAAAAUUACUAUAUUAUACAUUAAUUAACAAAAUAAAAUAUUUAAAAGUCGCAAAAAAAUAUUUAACUCUUCAAAAUUUUUAGUACCACAUAAAUUGAGAUAAAGAAAAUAAUAUAUAUUACUUAAAAUACAUAUUAAAAGUAUUAUAAAUUAUAAUAUUAAUAAUUUAAAAUUUUUAAAAUUAUAUAACAAAUUUGAUGGUCUCUCCUAUGAGUGACACAAAAUUAUAGAGCAUCAACCACAUACGUCAUGAAUAAUUAUAAUAUAAUUUGAGUUUGAGAUGGUGGCGUUAUCUUAGAGGAAAGAAAAAAACGUGUACAUGUGAAUAUAUAAAUCCUUCAACGAUGAAUCUAGACGGGUCAUGAAAUGUUAAUUUGUGUGGCGUCUUCUACGGUACUACACUUAUCUAGAAAAAAACAUAGUACGUGGGAAGUGUUUUAAUUUUACCCCUCUUAUCUAUGUUGCAAUGAAACAAAGCCCUCAAUAAUCAUUUCAUCAUAAAUAAACUCCUUACCUAUUAACUAUCUAUAUAAAUCCAAUAAUUGAAGAAUAGAAGUUGGAAGAUGAUUAACGCAAUAAGAUAAGCAAAUAGAGCAUAACUAGCACCAUCUGUGUUGUCAAAUCCUUUUCCAUAUCACAUUGCUCAAAAUUCUGUUGCUGCUGAGAUUAGAUUCAGACAAGUAGUAACCUCUGCUAGACAACCCGACCACAACAUGGAUCAAACUAAGAAACCUGUCGAGGAUAAGCAACACAAAGCUACGUAAGUUAAUUUCCUCGUCUUUUUGCCUUUUUUCUUAAUUAAACUGAACCAUAUGUACUGUCCUUAAGAUGGAAGGAGUUUUGGGGUGUUGUUUGUGAUUUUGGGUAGUAUUAUUUAAUGCUAAUUUGUUUCUGCUAUUGUGUGUUUGUUUUGUUGUUAUCUGUUGUUUUAUUUCUGAUACUAUCUGUGAUUUCGUUGUUACCUUUUAUUUCUUAUUUUUAUAUUGUGUCUUUUCUUAUAUUACGUCUUCUUCUAUGUUGUUUUGUUUGAUCUUGAGCUGAAGCCAUUAGAAACAACCUCUUUACCUUAAAGGUGAGUGACGUAAGGUAAUGUAAAUUGUGAAAUAUGAGGUAGUGAUAGGUACUAGGUAGUGAUGUGAAAUGCAUACAUUCUACCACACUGCUCCUAGACCCCAGACCCCAGAAGCCUACUUGGUUGUAUUUUCCCUGCGAGUUAUUCGCUAUCUAUUGAUAUAACAUCACUUCUAUUUAUUCAAAGUGUGUUAAAAUGAGGGAAAAAGCAAUUUGUAAUCGGCAUCAUAAGUGAGAUUAGCAUCCUAUAAGUAAUUAGGUGGAUAAUUGGCAAGCAAUAAUCCUACGUAAUUUUGUUUACUAAAAUUUUUAAUUUCUUCGUCUGUACUAUUAAAAUUCUUUUAGUAAUACUAGUCUUUUAUUAUGAUUAUAUAUAAUAUAUUAAAUAAGUUUUGAAAAAUUAUUUUGACAAGCUUUUUAAUAGAUCAAUUAUGGCUACGUAGCGGUUCAAAUUUGGUAAAUUGGAAUGGGCUGGACUGAAAGGCUGAGCUAAUAAAUGGAUUCUCAAAGUUGGGCAUGUUGAACAGAUUAUGAGCUAAUUUUGCCACCCGUGGUGAUUUGAUAAUUGAUCAGAUAAUUUUGCCAUGGUUUAUAUCCAACUCUUUUAAAAUUCUAGAUUGCUAUUGGUGUAGUCGAGUAUUCGUUCUAAUUCUAAGAAUGAAUUUUAUUUUUUUGCAUAGUAGUAGUAGAAACUAUAAUAAUAAUAAUAAUAACAAUAAUAAUAAUAACAGUGAUGCGCAUAUAUAAUUGGGUUGAAGGGACACGAUGUCGAGCAGCUAUGGAGAUGGAUAUGCAACAAGAUCAGAUGAGGAAGGUUUUGGAGGCAUCUAUGGCGGAAACAAAGAGGACGAGUAAAAUAUUAAACAUGGCAAAGCCCCUGGUAUAAUUUUUACUUUAAAAUAUAUAGUAUGCUAUAUGUUUUAUUUAUCUCAAGUGUGCGUCUAAUAAAUUUUUGCUGAAUUAAUUAUUAUUUAUUAUUGACAAAAAUAGAGUAUGAUACUAAACAAGGAAGUGAAGUCGGCGAGAAGGAGAAGGCUCGUAACCAGCAUCAAGUAGCAUGAAGUGAAAAUUGUCCUGCCUUGUGUUAAAUAUUUACUUUUUCUUGGUGACUUGAUAGAUGUGUACUAAUAAGGUUUAGUAUGUAACUAGUGGACACGUUCGCACUGUGAUAAAAAACAUAUUUAGAAUUAUGAAACUCUCUUUUAUGAAAAUAAAGAUACUUAUAAAUAUCAUACAUUUUCAUUCAAACAUGAGAAUUAUGAAGCUCUCUCUACUAGAAAAUAUAAAGCUCUCUCUACUAGAAAAUAUCAUACAUUUGAAUUCAUUAAACAUGUGAAUGUUAAUAAAAAAUUAAGAAAUAUUAAAGUGUCCGAGCUUCGUGCUGUCAUAAAAAGUAAAUACGUGAAAUUUAUAAAUAUUUCUAAAAUGUAGACAUCAUGAAAUAUCUUUUUUUAAUUAAUAAAAUGAAUAAAUGCUAAAAAUGAAAAUACUUCAGCUAUAAUUCAGCUAUAAUUCAAGUCUGUUACAGCUACUAAAAACAAUUACAAUGAAAAUGAGAGAUCACCUAAAUCCACUAUUUUUUUUAUGUUUGUCACGUCCAACUGGAUAUUUUUUGUUCAAUGAGAGCAUUAUAUAAAUGAAGCUAAGGACAUUUUAAAUACUCUUCACGGAUUGAUUAUAAACCCAUUGAGCAGCCAAAACUAAACUGCGUGGGAGAUGAGUUAGCUUGAGUUAUAAUCUAACUUGACCUAAAAAUAAAACAUAAUUGACCCAACUCAAUAAAGUUUGAACGGGUUCAAUUUGAAACCUCUAAUUUUACCCAUAAUCAAGUAUUAUUUGAAAAAGGAACAAUGAUAUAUAAUGAGGUUUCUAAGAACCAACAAAGAAAAAAGAAAACUCAACUCUAAGAAAACAAAUAAAAUGAAAAAAAAUAUUGAACUAAUAGUUCACAACUAUAUAUUGUCUAUGUUAUUGCCUCCGAUUUUUGCCUCUAUGAACUAUGCUAUUUUGAAAUCAUUUGCCUGAAUCUUCAAUCUUGUGAAGAUCAAUACACUUACAAUGUACUCUUCUCUGGUCUUGGAUGCCUCAUCUCUAAAGUGAUCAUCACCGACUCCUCAAAGAGAAGAUUAAAUAUGAAAUUCUUUGCUAAAACGCUUUGUAAAAAGAUUUUAUCAUCUAAAAAUAUUUUACAAAAUAUAAGAUCAAUUCCGGAAAUUGAAGCGCCCGCUACGCGCGAAUACAAGGAAGGACCGAACCAUAAGUACCUAUUGUAUACAAUCUUAUUCCAUAUUUAUGCAAAAGGUUGUUUCCACGAAUACCACAAAAAUAAGUAUCCCAAAAAUGUUGGUACUAAUAAGCAUUCAAGAACUACCAUCAAAAGCUCACAAAAACAUGUCAAGUUAUGGGAUGAAAUCACUUUCGAGUUUCAACGUUUAAAAAAAAAUAUUCAAAAAUAUUUCAUAGAAAACUUUCUACUCUCCAUCUUAUCCAAAAAAGCUACGGGCCUCACCUUUUACUUAUAGUUUAACUCUUGCUCGUUGAAAACUUAAAGAUACAACAUUACAUGAAAUCGUUUUCAAAAGAAUACAAAAUAAGAGAGGAACACCAGUUUUUGGUUUAUUUUCUUAAUCAUCCAUGUGGAGAGAGCCAAAGUGUUUAUCUUAUUACAUAGAAUGUAAAAUGAAACUGAUUUUUAUAGACAUUUAGCCAUUUAGAAGCUUAAUAAAAUAGAAAAAAAGAAAAAAAAAGCAGCAAAUCAUAACUGAAAAAUUUAUUAAUAUUGAAGAUGAAGGAAAAACAUGAAGGAGGAGAAAAUUAUGAUACCUCAAUCUUUUUUAUUUUUAUGAUAAAGUCUGAUGAAAUCUCUCUAUAUUUCUCGGCGACGCCAACUUCACAUGUAUCUAAUUAAUCGUCAUUGAAGGAAACUCUUUAAUUUAUAUAUUUAGGACAAAGAGAUUAGUUACAACCUCUUUAAACUAGAAGAGAUUAGGAGAUGUAUCCACCAUGGCAUAGCCACAUACAAUGGAGAUCGUACAAAAAAUUAUUCGAAGUAUAUGAAUCACAUAUUACUUUUUGUGCAUAUAUUCUUAUUCUUGGACGCCCUUACCAGAGUUUAUGAUUUCGCCAUAUAGCGAAUUUUAUUACAAUAUAAUUAAAUAGAAAUCAAAACAAAUCUCUUUACGAUUUAUAGCCUACUAUAAUGAUCUAGAGGAAUAAGAUAACAAACAUGAAAAUAAAGUGUAAACCAUUUAAAGCUACAAUAGAAGAAAAUCUCACAUGAGAAAAAAUUAAAUUUAUCUAAUUUUUUUUUUGAGAAUUUACUAUUACGAUAACUUAAUCAAGCUUCAAUUGACAUCCAGAAAAUGUAAAUAAAUAUGAGAAGCGUGGAAGAAAACUUGUAGAAUAAAAUUGAUUGUAAUAAAAUAAAGUUUGGUGGUGUAGAUAUUUCGCUGCGAACCGUGAGCAAUGAUCAUUUAAUAUUAUCUUCGUUCACUUCACUAACUUUCAAAUUAUUUUCAAAUCCCCCUCUAUCGUGAUCAUUUACCAACUCUAAAAGAAAAGAAUUUGCGUAGUAAAAAUUCAAUUAUUAAAAGCUACACAAACAAAGUAAAAAUUCAAUUAUUAAAAGCUACACAGACAAAAUAAAUUACAGUAUGUAGAAGAUUCACUAUCAAUCAAUGUAUAGUUGUAGAAAAUGGUAUGAGAGGGGAAAAUAAUAAUUUAGCAGGACACGAGAAUAAAUUAGCAGUGCAUUAUUCAAAAAAUAAUUUUAUACAAUUGAAGAUAUUGUAUUUACAAUUGAGGAAGAUGAAGAAUUGAUUAAUGGCGGUGAAAGGUGAAAUAAAUGUAAAAAACUAUCCUCUGAACUUGGAAUGAAGAAGCUUAAGAAUACGAACGACUGGAAUUUGAAAAAUUAAGAUCAUGUACGUGGACUAGACUGACUUUAAUGAAAAGGUUUAAGACCUCAAUAUGAGUUUUAGGUGAACAUUUAUUUUGUAUCACCUUUUAAAGUCAUUUAUAGAUCACUAUUAAUUUUGAUAUUUUUAAUUUUAAUUCUAAGAAGAUUUCAAAAAAAAAUGAAAAAAUAUGAUUAAAAUUUCUAGUCAAAGAGACAUGCUACAUCAGCUUUUUUCAUAUUCUCCUUUAUAUACAUGUAUUCAUUACGUCGAAGUUGCUGUGUUUUUAGCUUGUAGUACAUUAUUAUUUAGGAGCGAAGAAAAUUGUCAUGCCUGCUGACAUCGACUUGGUGACUCGAUAUAAAUAUAUAUGUGAUGUUCCGGCAUUCGACGGAAUACUUUAUAUUUUUGUCUUGAGAAAGUCGUAUGUUUUCAAGUAACUAAGGUUGUGUUUAAUGCUGAAUUUUAAUGUUUCAGGGCAAGGAGUGAGCUGAAGAGAAAGUCUCAGAAAAGUAGCAAGAAAACAAUUCUGACGAUCAAAAUGGUGGACCGUCAGUCGUACGACGGAUCACCAACCUGACCGUUAAGCCUAAACAGAACCCAAGACUUCAGGUCCUACAGCGACAAACCAAAUGAUGGACUGUCAGUCUUACGAUGGACCACCAAGUUGGCCAUCGGCGUUAUCCCGAACCAGGCUCCACGAAGGACUCAGCGACGGACCAAAUGGUAGAUCGUCAUUCUUACGAUGGACCACCAAAUUAGCCGUCAAGUUCAUCCAGAACCUGGAUCCCUGAAGGACUCAGAGAUGGACCAAAUGGUGGACCAUUAGACUAUGAUAGACCACCAAGUUGGCUAUCAGUUUUAUCUAGAAAGUGAUCUUCCCAAAUUAGCAGCGACAGGCCUAAUAGUGGACCGUCAACCUUGCGACGGACCACCAAUUCGGCCGUCACUUUGGAUGUAAAUUUUAGGAUUUCGAAUUUUAAAUCCUUUUAGCGGGGAACAUAUCAAUACCAAGUAUUAGGGUUUAGUAGGGACACUUGUUUUCAGUUUUAUACUUUUGUCUUUAGUUUCAUACUUUUGUCUUUAGUUUCAUACUUAUGUCUUCAGUUUCAUACUUUAGUUUAGAAGGACUCAGCGAUGGACCAAAUAGUAGACCGUUAUUCUUACGAUGGACCACCAAGUUGGCCGUCAAGUUUAUCCAGAACCUGGAUCCCUGAAGGACUCAGAGAUGGACCAAAUGGUGGGCCGUCAGACUUACGACGAACCACCAAGUUGUCCGUCAGUCUUAUCUAGAAAGUGACCUUUCCAAAUCAGCAGCGACGAGCCUAAUGGUGGACCGUUAACCUUGCGAUGGACCACCAAUUUGGCCGUUACUUUGGACGCAAAUUUUAUGAUUUUGAAUUUUAAAUCCUUUUAGUAGGGAACAUAUAAAUACCAAGUAUUAGGGUUUAGUAGGUACUUUUUUCUUUAGUUUCAUACUUUUGUCUUUAGUUUCAUACUUUUGUCUCUAUUGAGAGUUUUGCAUUAUUUUUCAUUGAGAUUUGAAUCCAGAAAGGGAGUCUUGAUUAUCAGUUUUCAUUUUUUCCAUCAAAGAUUGAGGAGAACAAUAUUGUGACUUUUGUAACUACUUUUUUGAAGCUAUUUAUGAACACCAAUAUAAUCUUGAUUUCUGACAUGGAGAUGAGUAGCUAACUCCCAUAACUAGGGUCAUGGGAGACUUGAUGUAGAGAACUAUUUUGGGGUUGUGAAUGGGUUUUCUUUCUAAUAUCUAUCGAAAUUGCAUGAAUCUUUCUUCAUUUUAAUAACAUCUCUUGGUUGUAAACUUGAGAAGUGAGCCCAUAAAUUCCACUUGUCUGACAAGAAAGUGUAUGUUGGGAAAAAAGGUGAUUCACAUGGACUCUAUAGGUUUACCUUUUGGAUUAACGGGUUGAUGCCUUAACAAGAUCAACCCUCAUGCGAGUAUUACUGAAUAAUGCAUGAAUCCUUUAAGUUCGAGAGAAGUAAAGGGUGAAAUACCUAUUGGGUUGAGAAACACGUGGGUAAUCUUUAGAAUUCAAUUAUUCUUGCAAUGGGAUGCAUAAGUUAGAAUUCGAACUCAAAUUCACAACAUUAAUUAUUUGAACAUCUUGGUGACCAUAACUCUAGUUAAUUCAUUCUCAUUGGAAUUAUAUCUAUAUUUACUCUCAGUAGCUGGAAUUUUGUGUAACACAAUACAAAAGAACUCUGUUAACAUUCCCAAAAUCCCUUUGUAUUUCAUAGCCUUAGAUCAAUAGUUGGGAUUCGAAACCCAACCCAGUUAGGUUCUAUAUUUGACAGCAACCACUUACUCUCUCAUAAGAGAUUUAUAAUUUGGGCCUAUCAAAUUUUGCCACCAUUGCCGAGGAUUAUGAUUGUUAAUUAAGUUUGUGUUUGUUAAUUGACCUUGGGUCAAGUUUCCUAAAAUUUUACUUUCGUUUGUUGUUUUUGUUUAUGCAGGGGAAUUGUAGUGUAUACCAAUUACAUGGAGGUCGGGUACACCAUUAUUACCAAUAUAUCUGGAACUGUAACUUAUUGGUAGAAUGCUAGAACCCUAAGAUGCUGAGAGACUAGCCGCAUCAGCUAGAGCUCAACUAAAUCAACAGAAUGAUAGCCAGCAGACACAUCAUCCUAACCCUAAUGAUGAUGAUUUAGGAGAUGAUGACUUGUUGGAUCCUGCUAAUCGAAGGCGUUUAGAGAAUGUAGCUGCACCAAUAAACAAAAAUAUGAACAAAAACCAUUCUUUCAGGACGAGACCUGAUCGUCAAGCUAUUUAAUUUGAUAUUAAUAAUGAUGAAGAUGGAAUGGAUGAAGCUGGUUCCACUGGAGCUAUUAUUCCUCCACCUUUAGCUCUAGGAGCAAAGUUCAAUAUUACCAGUACAAUGAUCCAACUCUUUUAUCUGAAGGGGUUGUUUGGUAGACUCUCGGGAGAUGAUCCCAAUAUGUAUUUAGUGAAUUUUGUCACUAUUUAAAAGUCCUUUGAUAACCCGAAAGUGGGACAGAAUGCAAUUUGGUUGUAUUUAUUUUCGUUGUCUCUAUCUUAGGAGGCAACAUUAUGGCUUAAUGAGCUGACGCCCGCUUCUAUAACCAACUAGAGGCGAUUGAAAGAGGCUUUCCUAGAAAGGUUCUUUCUGCCUUCCAGAAGGGUACAGUUGAGGGACGAGAUCAGCAACUUUAGGCAGCUCCCAACCAAGGCCCUUUAUGAGAUAUGAGAGAGAUUUAAAAAGAAGUUGAAAUAGUAUCCGAACCAUAAUAUAACAAAUAUUUAUCUGAUGGAGACUCUUUAUCGGGCUUUGAACUCUAUUAAGAAGCUAGUUGUUGAUAAUGCUGUAGGGGGAUUAUUUUUGGAUCUCACAUUUUAGGAGGCCUCAGAUAUGCUUGACUGGAUGAACAAACAAAGUAGAUCUUAGCAUACCAGGGAUUCUGUGGCAGCAAGCCCUGUUAUGUCUAUUGGCAUAACUGCGGAGCAAUGUAAGAAAGAGGAAGAAUGUGAUCAAGACAUGGCAUACUUAAAGACGCAGAUGGAUCUAUUGACCAAAUAUCUAUUACCUGCAAAGACUGAAAAGGUAAAGGCUGUUGCGGCUAAAGGUAGAGAUGAUUCUGAUUCAGAAAAAGAGGUCAACUAUUUUAAUAAUAGGGGGUUUUGGAAGCAAUAGCCAGGGAAAUCAAGGUUGGAACUACUACGAUAAGGCUGGUUAUAAGGAUAGAGAGCAAAGAAAUUAGAAAG
rnacentral:lncRNA from 1 species